UUAAGCCAUGCAUGUCUAAGUAUAAAUUCUUGUACGAUGAAACUGCAGACGGCUCAUUACAACAGUGAUAAACUGCUAGACUUUCGGGUUUUUAACCUUUUGGAUAACCGCAGUAAAUCGGGGCUAAUACAUAGAAGCGAUGGGUGACUGGCAACGGAAGCUCAGCGAUUAUUAGCAUUACUACCAAUACCUUCGGGUCUUGUGGUGAAACCGAAUAAUAUUGCAGAUCGGGGAUUUAUCUUCGACAAGUCUACUGUGUCACUGCCCUAUCAACUUUCGAUGGUACGGUAUUGGCCUACCAUGGUUGUAACGGGUAACGGGGAAUUAGGGUUCGAUUCCGGAGAGGGAGCCUGAGAAAUGGCUACCACUUCUACGGAAGGCAGCAGGCGCGCAAAUUACUCAAUCCCAAUACGGGGAAGUAGUGACAAUAAAUAUCAAUACCUAUCCUUAAUUGGAGGGCAAUUGAAAUGAACACAAAUUAAAACUCUUAAUUAACACAAUUGGAGGGCAAGUCUGGUGCCAGCAGCCGCGGUAAUUCCAGCUCCAAUAGCAUAUACUAAAGUUGUUGCAGUUAAAAAGCUCGUAGUUGAAGUUAAAGUUUUAUUGGACUCAAGUUUUUUACCACUCUGGUGGCUAAAAUAACUCCAAUAAUUCUUUUUUUAAUAGCUCAGUUUCUAGGUCUUUGACUCUAGUUAUUUGGGCAUUUCACUGUGAGAAAAUUGUGGUGUUUAAAGCAGGCGUCUCGUCUGAUCUUUUGCAGCAUGGUAUGAUGGAACAUGACAUUUUACG
rnacentral:rRNA from 1 species